GUUCCCCCUUUUACUUUGCCAAUUGGACUUAUGUCUUUAUUGGUCAUUCAACUGGGGCAAACGAACUACCCUUUUAAAACUCAGGCAAACUGGGUGUUUGUCUUAUAUCCUGUCAGAGGAAACAAAA
rnacentral:snoRNA from 1 species